GGUUAAGCGACUAAGCGUACACGGUGGAUGCCCUGGCAGUCAGAGGCGAUGAAGGACGUGCUAAUCUGCGAAAAGCGUCGGUAAGGUGAUAUGAACCGUUAUAGCCGGCGAUGUCCGAAUGGGGAAACCCAGUGCAAUUCGUUGCACUAUCGUUAACUGAAUACAUAGGUUAACGAGGCGAACCGGGGGAACUGAAACAUCUAAGUACCCCGAGGAAAAGAAAUCAACCGAGAUUCCCCCAGUAGCGGCGAGCGAACGGGGAGCAGCCCAGAGUCUGAAUCAGCUUGUGUGUUAGUGGAACGGUCUGGAAAGUCCGACGGUACAGGGUGAUAGUCCCGUACACCAAAAUGCACAGGUUGUGAACUCGAAGAGUAGGGCGGGACACGUGGUAUCCUGUCUGAAUAUGGGGGGACCAUCCUCCAAGGCUAAAUACUCCUGACUGACCGAUAGUGAACCAGUACCGUGAGGGAAAGGCGAAAAGAACCCCGGCGAGGGGAGUGAAAAAGAACCUGAAACCGUGUACGUACAAGCAGUGGGAGCACCUUCGGGUGUGACUGCGUACCUUUUGUAUAAUGGGUCAGCGACUUAUAUUCUGUAGCAAGGUUAACCGUAUAGGGGAGCCGCAGGGAAACCGAGUCUUAACUGGGCGUUAAGUUGCAGGGUAUAGACCCGAAACCCGGUGAUCUAGCCAUGGGCAGGUUGAAGGUUGGGUAACACUAACUGGAGGACCGAACCGACUAAUGUUGAAAAAUUAGCGGAUGACUUGUGGCUGGGGGUGAAAGGCCAAUCAAACCGGGAGAUAGCUGGUUCUCCCCGAAAGCUAUUUAGGUAGCGCCUCGUGAACUCAUCUUCGGGGGUAGAGCACUGUUUCGGCUAGGGGGUCAUCCCGACUUACCAACCCGAUGCAAACUACGAAUACCGAAGAAUGUUAUCACGGGAGACACACGGCGGGUGCUAACGUCCGUCGUGAAGAGGGAAACAACCCAGACCGCCAGCUAAGGUCCCAAAGUCAUGGUUAAGUGGGAAACGAUGUGGGAAGGCACAGACAGCCAGGAUGUUGGCUUAGAAGCAGCCAUCAUUUAAAGAAAGCGUAAUAGCUCACUGGUCGAGUCGGCCUGCGCGGAAGAUGUAACGGGGCUAAACCAUGCACCGAAGCUGCGGCAGCGACACUAUGUGUUGUUGGGUAGGGGAGCGUUCUGUAAGCCUGCGAAGGUGACCUGUGAGGGUUGCUGGAGGUAUCAGAAGUGCGAAUGCUGACAUAAGUAACGAUAAAGCGGGUGAAAAGCCCGCUCGCCGGAAGACCAAGGGUUCCUGUCCAACGUUAAUCGGGGCAGGGUGAGUCGACCCCUAAGGCGAGGCCGAAAGGCGUAGUCGAUGGGAAACAGGUUAAUAUUCCUGUACUUGGUGUUACUGCGAAGGGGGGACGGAGAAGGCUAUGUUAGCCGGGCGACGGUUGUCCCGGUUUAAGCAUGUAGGCUGGUUGUCCAGGCAAAUCCGGAUAAUCAAGGCUGAGGUGUGAUGACGAGGCACUACGGUGCUGAAGUAACAAAUGCCCUGCUUCCAGGAAAAGCCUCUAAGCAUCAGGUAACAUCAAAUCGUACCCCAAACCGACACAGGUGGUCAGGUAGAGAAUACCAAGGCGCUUGAGAGAACUCGGGUGAAGGAACUAGGCAAAAUGGUGCCGUAACUUCGGGAGAAGGCACGCUGGUGUGUAGGUGAAGUCCCUGCGGAUGGAGCUGAGACCAGUCGAAGAUACCAGCUGGCUGCAACUGUUUAUUAAAAACACAGCACUGUGCAAACACGAAAGUGGACGUAUACGGUGUGACGCCUGCCCGGUGCCGGAAGGUUAAUUGAUGGGGUUAUCCGUAAGGAGAAGCUCUUGAUCGAAGCCCCGGUAAACGGCGGCCGUAACUAUAACGGUCCUAAGGUAGCGAAAUUCCUUGUCGGGUAAGUUCCGACCUGCACGAAUGGCGUAAUGAUGGCCAGGCUGUCUCCACCCGAGACUCAGUGAAAUUGAACUCGCUGUGAAGAUGCAGUGUACCCGCGGCAAGACGGAAAGACCCCGUGAACCUUUACUAUAGCUUGACACUGAACAUUGAGCCUUGAUGUGUAGGAUAGGUGGGAGGCUUUGAAGCGUGGACGCCAGUCUGCGUGGAGCCAACCUUGAAAUACCACCCUUUAAUGUUUGAUGUUCUAACGUUGGCCCCUUACCGGGGUUGCGGACAGUGUCUGGUGGGUAGUUUGACUGGGGCGGUCUCCUCCCAAAGCGUAACGGAGGAGCACGAAGGUUAGCUAAUCCUGGUCGGACAUCAGGAGGUUAGUGCAAUGGCAUAAGCUAGCUUGACUGCGAGCGUGACGGCGCGAGCAGGUGCGAAAGCAGGUCAUAGUGAUCCGGUGGUUCUGAAUGGAAGGGCCAUCGCUCAACGGAUAAAAGGUACUCCGGGGAUAACAGGCUGAUACCGCCCAAGAGUUCAUAUCGACGGCGGUGUUUGGCACCUCGAUGUCGGCUCAUCACAUCCUGGGGCUGAAGUAGGUCCCAAGGGUAUGGCUGUUCGCCAUUUAAAGUGGUACGCGAGCUGGGUUUAGAACGUCGUGAGACAGUUCGGUCCCUAUCUGCCGUGGGCGCUGGAGAAUUGAGGGGGGCUGCUCCUAGUACGAGAGGACCGGAGUGGACGCAUCACUGGUGUUCGGGUUGUCAUGCCAAUGGCACUGCCCGGUAGCUAAAUGCGGAAGAGAUAAGUGCUGAAAGCAUCUAAGCACGAAACUUGCCCCGAGAUGAGUUCUCCCUGAGACUUUAAGUCUCCUGAAGGAACGUUGAAGACGACGACGUUGAUAGGCCGGGUGUGUAAGCGCAGCGAUGCGUUGAGCUAACCGGUACUAAUGAACCGUGAGGCUUAACCUU
rnacentral:rRNA from 2 species